rnacentral:sRNA from 1 species
AAACAGCUUACACCCUCAAUUUUGAGCUACGAAAUUGCCGACCUUGCAUCUUCAAUGAAGAUGGGGAAUGGGCUCUUCCCAACAUCAUCGACGUAUCGGAUCACAAUUGGUGCCUCUUAAGCUUGAAUCGUCAUCCGGAGGAGCCGAGGGAGAAAUUCUUCAAAAGCUAGAAUAAAUGGAUUGCAUCUCUGCCAACCAAUUUUCUGCCCAGAUACCUGCAACUAACUACUUAAGGAUCGACCUCCUUGAUCCGUUCUUCAAGGGAAAUAUUUGUGGACCAGACAUGGAUAUACUACUACAGCGGCC